GAUGAACGCUGGCGGCGUGCCUAAUACAUGCAAGUCGAGCGAACGGACGAUAAGCUUGCUUUUCUGAUGUUAGCGGCGGACGGGUGAGUAACACGUGGAUAACCUACCUAUAAGACUGGGAUAACUUCGGGAAACCGGAGCUAAUACCGGAUAAUAUUUUGAACCGCAUGGUUCAAUAGUGAAAGACGGUCUUGCUGUCACGUAUAGAUGGAUCCGCGCUGCAUUAGCUAGUUGGUAAGGUAACGGCUUACCAAGGCAACGAGGCAUAGCCGACCUGAGAGGGUGAUCGGCCACACUGGAACUGAGACACGGUCCAGACUCCUACGGGAGGCAGCAGAAGGGAAUCUUCGGCAAUGGGCGAAAGCCUGGCGGAGCAACGCCGCGUGAGUGAUGAAGGUCUUCGGAUCGUAAAACCCUGUUAUUAGGGAAGAACAUAUGUGUAAGUAACUGUGCACAUCUUGACGGUACCUAAUCAGAAAGCCCCGGCUAACUACGUG
rnacentral:rRNA from 1 species